rnacentral:rRNA from 1 species
UGGGUAACCUGCCUCAAAGAGGGGAAUAGCCUCCCGAAAGGGAGAUUAAUACCGCAUAAUAUGUUUAAGUCGCAUGACUUUAACAUCAAAGGAUUUUCUUUUAGAAAUUCCACUUUGAGAUGGACCCGCGGCGCAUUAACUAGUUGGUGAGGUAACGGCUCACCAAGGCAACGAUGCGUAGCCGACCUGAGAGGGUGAUCGGCCACAUUGGAACCGAGACACGGUCCAGACUCCUACGGGAGGNAG